AUUGAACGCUAGCGGGAUGCUUUACACAUGCAAGUCGAACGGCAGCGCGGACUUCGGUCUGGCGGCGAGUGGCGAACGGGUGAGUAAUGUAUCGGAACGUGCCCAGUAGCGGGGGAUAACUACGCGAAAGCGUAGCUAAUACCGCAUACGCCCUACGGGGGAAAGCAGGGGAUCGUAAGACCUUGCACUAUUGGAGCGGCCGAUAUCGGAUUAGCUAGUUGGUGAGGUAACGGCUCACCAAGGCGACGAUCCGUAGCUGGUUUGAGAGGACGACCAGCCACACUGGGACUGAGACACGGCCCAGACUCCUACGGGAGGCAGCAGUGGGAAUUUUGGACAAUGGGGGCAACCCUGAUCCAGCCAUCCCGCGUGUGCGAUGAAGGCCUUCGGGUUGUAAAGCACUUUUGGCAGGAAAGAAACGUCGCGGGCUAAUACCCCGUGGAACUGACGGUACCUGCAGAAUAAGCACCGGCUAACUACGUG
rnacentral:rRNA from 1 species